rnacentral:lncRNA from 1 species
UUCUGAAAGUGCUUAGCCUGAGAGGCCCCACAUAAUCUGCCCAGCUCAGUGGUCUCUGAAUUGUCACCAUGUCACCUUCUUGCCUGUUAUCUGUUUACUCUGCCCAUGACUCACGGCUAGUCACUAGUCUAGUAACUUUGUAACCUUUCCCCCCGAGAAUGUGUCUGGAUGUCACAGAUUUGUGAGAAUGUGUCUGGAUGUCACAGAUUUGUGCAGCCUUCAGCUUUCUCUUUUCAGGGCUCAACUUGCUUCCAACAAUAUCACUAGUUUUUACGAGUGUUAUGUGAAGCAGCAAUAGCAGGCUUGAUGGGGCUCUGUCUUCUGCAUCAAGCAUUCUGGGUGACAGGAAGCAGAGGCUGGAGAGAUGGAGGACCCACAGUUUCAAAGGAGAUGAACCCCACAGGACGCUUCCACAGAGCGAUGCUGGCCAGCCCACCUUGGACCACAGGAAGCUCCCUAAGGAAAAGGUUUCGUGAGUUGAGCCCAGGAAGGAUUAGGAGAGCUGAGAGAGAAACAGUUGUCCCAGCAGGGAAGAGCUUUCCUUCAGUUCUCCAUGGUACAGAGAGUGGUACAGUGGGUCUACGUGAGGGACUUUGAGAGAGAAAGAACCCAUGAGGAGGAAGAUGUUUGCUAUAGUUAAAUGCAAACAAUCUCUGGAAGCGGUUUCUCUCUCGUAAGAGCAAAGUACCACAUCAGGGGUUCCAGACAUCUGACCUUAUCAGCGGUGCCCCUGCGCUCCUUGCCUGGAGUUGUCUGGACCCUGACAAACACGUCCAAGCCUACCACCCUUGCCUCUCCCAGAGUGAAGGAGGUUGUUGUUGUGAAGAGGCACCGUGGCCACGGCAGCACUUAUAAAAGAAAGCAUUUAGUUCCGGCCUGCUUACCAUUUCAGAGAUUUCGUCCCUUUAACACCAUGACAGGGAACAUGGCGGCAUGCAGCUAGAGUUCUUCAGCCAGUUCUGAGGACGGCAGGAAGAGAAAGACCCUGGCCAGGGUCCGGCUUUUGAAACUUCAAUGAUCUAUUCUCAGGGACAUUUCCUUCAAUAAGGCCACACCAACAAGGUCACACCACCUAUCCCUUCCCAGCACUCGACUGGGAGAUAGCUCAGUCAGUACAUUUUCAUGAAGACAUGAAAAUAAUCCUUAGAACCCAGAAGAAAAGGCCAGGUGUUGUGGUACAUGCUUAGAAUCCCACCACUGGUGAGGAGGAAACUGAAGAUCCCUGGAUAGCUGGCUGGUCAGCCUAGCUUCCUCAGUGAGCCCCAGGUUCAAUGCUUCCUGUGGCAAGCUCCCAGGGGCCCCAUCUCAAGGGUGCCUCUUCCUCAUGACCACCCGUGACCUUCAAAAUGACAACUGCUAAGGAUGCUGAAGAUGGUCAGACGGGCUCAUCACCAACUCUGGAACUCAGUGGCUGCAUCAAUGUGGAUGGGAAAACCGUUGAGGUUACAUUGAUCUUUGCCAGUGUCUCCUUCAGCAACAUACAUCCCAACAACCACAUCGCCAGUUGUCUCUGGGAAGAACAACACUAUUUUCAGAUCUGUGACAGUUGUGUCAGGUGGUUGAAAAUGUCAUCAAACCCAUUACUGCUUCAAAAUUACAGUCAUUAUUGAAACAUGCUCCUAGACCUUGUUAUUUUGUGUGUUAAUAAAUGAGGAUUCCUAGAACC